AGUGAACGCUGGCGGUAGGCCUAACACAUGCAAGUCGAACGGCAGCACAGUAAGAGCUUGCUCUUACGGGUGGCGGGAGGCGGACGGGUGAGGAAUACAUCGGAAUCUACUUUUUCGGGGGGGAUAACGUAGGGAAACUUACGCUAAUACCGCAUACGACCUACGGGUGAAAGCAGGGGAUCUUCGGACCUUGCGCGAUUGAAUGAGCCGAUGUCGGAUUAGCUAGUUGGCGGGGUAAAGGCCCACCAAGGCGACGAUCCGUAGCUGGUCUGAGAGGAUGAUCAGCCACACUGGAACUGAGACACGGUCCAGACUCCUACGGGAGGCAGCAGUGGGGAAUAUUGGACAAUGGGCGCAAGCCUGAUCCAGCCAUACCGCGUGGGUGAAGAAGGCCUUCGGGUUGUAAAGCCCUUUUGUUGGGAAAGAAAAGCAGCAGGUUAAUACCCCGCUGUUCUGACGGUACCCAAAGAAUAAGCACCGGCUAACUUCGUG
rnacentral:rRNA from 1 species